UAGUUUGCAUAGUUGGAGUGUAGGG
rnacentral:piRNA from 1 species